UUUUGCUUCUGAAGUUCUCCCAGGGACGUAAGGCCUAGUGAUAUAAUUGUUAAGCGUGUAUAGGUCCCUGCACCAACGUGGUCUUCUAGCCCUGGCAAACUGAGGGUAUAGUGCAGCUGUAUAAGUUGAAAUUAAUGUCAAAGGCAUGCUGUGCAUUUAUUCAGUGACAUGCCCUAAUUCUAAUGUAGUAUGAGAAUUUAAAGACUGGAUACUUGUCAGUUUUAUUGACAUGCACUCAUUUUUGCAUUGGGACAAUUUUGAGAAAAUAUGUAAAUGUAGCUGUGAUGAUUCUUGAAUAAUAUGCAGCUUCUACUAAGUUACAGUAAUUAAAGAAUAUAUUUUCCUAUUUAUUUAUCAUGGAAUUCAUGUUUUAAAACUGAUAUUAUAAUACAUUUCAGGUAGAACACAUGUAGAACAUGUAGAAACAUUGAUUUCGGAUCAGAAAUUAUCAAUGUUCAUGGCUACUCAGAACACAGCAGGGAGAAGUUCAUGUUAUGAACAUUUCUUAUCAACAACCCUUUAAGCAGAAGGACCUCUGUUCUACAGCUUGUGGUGGAUCAUUGAACACAUGAUAAUCAACCAAGUUUAAAGGAAGCAUGUAACCACAAUAGAAAGAUUUAAGGACUGUGAGAAACCAAAUAUGACACAUCAGAAUAAAGUCCAUGGGAGUGUGAAAAAAAAAAGAAUAGUAGAGUGUAAUCCUCAGAACUUUCUUCAGACUUCCUCAAAGUUCAGGAAAAUACUGUUGAACUGACAAAAUGAACAAAAAUCAUGAUUCUCAAAAAUUGAAGGAAGACGUGUGAGUUAAGACUUUUGAUGACAAUUAAGAAUCAACCAAUGGAAAUAUGGCUUUGAACUUGGAUCUCAUUAUUGAUGCAUGCAUGAUGGUGGACUGAGGAAGAAAACCAGGAUAAAAGAAAAUUCCUUGUGUUCGUCAGAAAAAAUAAAUCAUGCAGCCAUUUUGAGUGCUUGAAUGCCCAACUGAGAGAGCCAUGGCAGCCAGUGCUGAAAAUAUUUCUUGGAAGUUAAACCAAAUCUGCUGUGACAAUUGAAUUAAAGCUUUAAAAGUACAUUUAAAAACAUACUGAUUCAUCUAUAAGUGAGACUUGAUUGCCUUUGACAGUUGCCAGUGGAAUUCAGAUCUUUGUACCUGUAUUAACAGUAUUAAUAUAUUGAAGUGAUUUGCCUUAAAAUUACAUUUGUAUAUGGUGUAAUUACCUCAAGGAGAUAUAACACACCUGGUUAAACAGUAAUUAAGGUUCAUAGCUAAACAUGGAUAUGGAAUUUAGCUUACCUGAUCCAAAAGGGAAUUAAUGACAUUGCACAAUUCUGAUAAAAAGAAGUCUCUGGUAUCCAACAAUGCAACAUUUAUAUGUUUGACUGUUUGUCCUCCAUUAACUUUCAACAUUUUCUAAAUUUUUUUCUAACAUUUGUUCAAUGUAAACCACAUUUGUACAAUGUAUCUCUGCUUAAAAGGAAUAAAGCUUAUUAAAAUAAA